CAGUCGCCGCGGGAAUACGUAGGUGGCAAGCGUUGUCCGGAAUUAUUGGGCGUAAAGGGCUCGCAGGCGGUUUCUUAAGUCUGAUGUGAAAGCCCCCGGCUCAACCGGGGAGGGUCAUUGGAAACUGGGAAACUUGAGUGCAGAAGAGGAGAGUGGAAUUCCACGUGUAGCGGUGGAAUGCGUAGAGAUGUGGAGGAACACCAGUGGCGAAGGCGACUCUCUGGUCUGUAACUGACGCUGAGGAGCGAAAGCGUGGGGAGCGAACAGGAUUAGAUACCCCCGUAGUCCCUGUCUCUUAUAC
rnacentral:rRNA from 1 species